GCAGUUUGAAAUCAUAGCCCAUUCUCUGUUUCACUGCUCAAGAACCAAGGGAGUCAGAGAUCGAUAUGUAAAUUCCACACCACUACUCACCAUGGCCCCUGCUGACUUGGUUGCAAUUCCAAUUCUUCACGAAUGACUACUAACCCUGAAGUUGUGGCAAACUUUCUCUCCCUUUGAAAUAAGUAGAUACAAAUAAUCCA